CCAGAACGAGAGGCAGAUGGCUCUGAUGGUGGAGCCAGGGGUCUGCUCAUCCGUGGUCGGCGUGGAGGCCCCCUGGGAGGGGCUGAGGGCCGGCGUGGAGGCCCCCUGGGAGGGCCUGAGAGAGGAGCUACAAUCCGGAUCAGAGAUGCCAGUGCCCCAGCCAAGGGUCUCCAGGAAAGUGACGGCCUCAGAGUCCCCAAAACACAUCCCCGCCGAGUCCAUUGGGGGGGGGCCCUGAAACCCCCUGCCGGGUCAUCCAAAGAGAGCAGAGCCACCAGCCG
rnacentral:lncRNA from 1 species